GCCAGGUGAGGUGGUGCACACCUGUGAUCUCAGUGGCUCUGGAGGCUGAGGCAGGAGGAUCAGGAACUCAAAGCCAGCCUCAGCGAAAGUGAGGCACUCAGCAACCCAGUGAGACCCUGUCUCUA
rnacentral:sRNA from 1 species